GUGUGGUGUGUGUGUGUGUGUGUGUGUGUGUGGAAAGGAAAGGCAAGUCGGGCCACAAAUCGGCAAGGGAGGCCAGGUAAAGAGUUCAUCAUGACAAGCAAGGCAAAUCUGAUUUAUUUCCAAAAAUAAUCUCAGAGAACUCAGAAUAAAUGUUCCAC